CUUUUUGAGAUAAAGGAUCCACUCCAAGUCCAACCACACCUAAGGAAAUGCUUUGAAGGAAUUGCUAAGCUCACUUUUAAUCAUGAGAAAGAAAUUACCCACAUGGAGUCAGCAGAAAACGAAAAUGUAGAUCUCGUGCUGCGAAUAAUUCCAGCAAGUGCCAAGGGGCUAGUUGAGAAAUGGCUUCAUGAGG
rfam:Nestor notabilis contig22147, whole genome shotgun sequence.